ACUAAUCGAACCAUCUAGUA
rnacentral:ncRNA from 3 species